AUUGUGCGCCGAUAAUGUAGCGGGGCUCAAGCACACCGCCGAAGCCGCGGCAGCACACAUCUGUGUGCUGGGUAGGGGAGCGUCCUGCAUCCGGUGAAGCAGCAGAGUGAUCUAGCUGUGGAGGGUGGGGGAGUGAGAAUGCAGGCAUGAGUAGCGAUAAGGCAAGUGAGAACCUUGCCCGCCGAAAGACCAAGGGUUCCUGGGCCAGGCCAGUCCGCCCAGGGUGAGUCGGGACCUAAGGCGAGGCCGACAGGC
rnacentral:rRNA from 1 species